CUGCCAGGUUUGUGUAGGAAGGCAGACCUGCCAGGGCCCUCAGGCAAGGAAAACCCCUCCAAAGCAGUGAGGAGGAUUUCCUGGUGAGGAAACCAGAAAAUAAGAGUCUCUGACUCCCAAAGAUGGGAGGAACAGCAAAGAGAGGUCAAGAGUUAGGACUCCUGGCGGUGCCUGUGAAAUUCCUGUGUGACCAAGAGUGUGUGACUUGGAAUUUAUGGACUCUCUUACCCACCUGGGCAUAAUUGUUUCUGUCUCCUUUGUGGCUGUGAUUCUGGAAUAAGUGAAAUGAGUAAGGCAGAGCAAGGAUAUACAUGUGUAUCCAUGCAUAUUCUCAGUGCCUAGAACAGUGCCUGGUGCACAGGAGAUACUCCACAGGCGUUUCUCAGACAGAUGAAUAUUACAAGGCUGGAAUCAUAAGUCUGUGCCGGGUUAAGAGCUUUACCCCUGACUACUGUGACUGACAUCAGGCCGGUAACCUCAUCUCAGCUCCAGCUUCCCGGUUCAUGGAAUAGAAAUACCUAUGAUGGGAUGAGAUGUCAGUAAACCCAUAAGGUUGCGGAAUACAAAGCAAGUACUCAUCAAACGGUAGUGGUCAUGAGAUCUCCCAUGAUGGUGCUUGUUGGUUUUGAAGGAACUGUAGGAAUUUCUCCCAUUCUUUGUCUUCCUCCGCUCACCCACUCCCAGUACAAUGGCGUUCCUCACCCAGUGGCCUUUCUCUGAGGAUUAGACGAAAGAGAAGCAAUCAGUUUGGGUUGUAGGUUAGAGCGAACAAGGGCUGCAAACAUUGAAAGGUGUUAUAAAAAGACGUAGGAACCUUUUUCCAGGAAAUCUGUUGGAGUACAGUAAGUAUUUUUACCAGCGUAGACCAGCUCCUGUGUUGACCCAUGAAGAAGAGAUAUAGGACUUGGUGGCCUUUCACAGAAGGGCUUCUGCAGGCCACAGACAGCUCAAGGGCAUUGUGGUGAGGCCAGCAGCCUCAGCCAGGAUGUUUUGUGUGUCAUCUGCCCCAUGUAGACCUGCAGGUCUUCGAGGUUAAAGAGCUGCUGAAAUGCGAGUCAGAAGAAGAGGAACCAGCCCGGCAUCCUGAGCCCGCCCGGUGGAAAGCUGUACAAGAGGGAAAGAGAAGGACUCCCCCAUUGUCUGCGGCAGUGACAUCCAGGAAGAUCACCUCCAGUUGUCUUUUGGUCCUCAGAGGCAGCCACCCGGGUGCUCCCUGUAGAGUUCCUUACCCCAGCCAGCCCUGGGCUGCCCUGCUCCCUCUGCAUCUUCCCUCCCCCUCUCCCAGGGCACUGACUGCCUGGGGCCUCCUCCCAGGCCCUUUCUGAGUAAGUCUCCGCACACAGCUCCCUGACUCACCCACUGGCCCGUGACCUCAUGCGGAUGCCCGUUCUCCAUUCAUCGCGUCUCUGGGUCCUUUCCCCAGGGUAGUUACAAAUACCACAAAGGAGAGAGUUGGAAUUCUUUGGGUCUCCCAGAAUACUGGGUUUAGUACCCAGUAGGUAAUCAAUAAAGGCUUCUUCAGUAAAUGGCUAAAAAGCUGAUGUACUACUGCGUAUCUUAAGAUGC
ensembl:lincRNA